GCCCUUCUUAAGACCUGAGAGCCUCUGAGAUGAAGGUUUCUUGGAUUCAGAUUCUCGGAAAGGUGAUUCGGUCGGAAGAAUUGAGACAUUUCGCUGGAACUUUACUGAAAUCACUGAAGAAGGAAGAAAGAAGGUUGUGCCAUGAGAGCAUCCAUCUCACCCUGGAGCCUCAAGUGUAUUAUCUCCUUUGCUAUCUGAAUGGAGUGGAGCUGAGGAUACUCAUUGCUUCCUUUCACCUUCUGGAAUUGAAAGUGAGAACCCCAGGCUUCUCUGAAGAUCUCUGCCUUUUUCCUGAAGCUAGAAUCUUCAUGCUUCCUCUGCUUUCAGUUUUACAUUAUUUCCCAACUACGCUCUUGCUGAAACUCACUUUUAUGCUCCUCUGUGGAACCACAAUAACUGAAAUUACUGGGAAAGAGGGCCUCCCUCUAGUCUCCUGCCUUUGCUGUCAGCCACCCAGUUAGAGCCCCUGAGCUUCUAAAGUUUCUGCCAUUCAGCAAAGAGUUGUGC
rnacentral:lncRNA from 1 species